rnacentral:lncRNA from 1 species
CUUAACACUACAACUCUAAUGCAGAAUCUUACUCCAGAAUGAGCACUUCCCAAUCUCAGGUUGUAUUACAAUCAUCCAGUGAUCCACAUAACAUUAGGAUGAACCCUGCUAUUCUCCACUCAGGCGGAGAGAGAAAGAUGAUUAAACGAUAAGAUCCUGCAUUUUGGGAAUGUAGGAAAAACAUGUCAAAUGAACAUUCAGAAGAAUAACCAGAGGCACAAUGGCAACCACUAAACAGACUGCUGUGAAGUAUGGCAACCACUAAACAGACUGCUGUGAAGUAUGGCGACCACUAAACAGACUGCUGUGAAGUAUGGCAACCACUAAACAGACUUCUGUGAAGUAUGGCAACCACUAAACAGACUGCUGUGAAGUAUGGCGACCACUAAACAGACUGCUGUGAAGUAUGGUAACCACUAAACAGACUGCUGUGAAGUAUGGUAACCACUAAACAGACUGCUGUGAAGUAUGGCAACCACUAAACAGACUGCUGUGAAGUAUGGCAACCACUAAACAGACUGCUGUGAAGUAUGGCAACCACUAAACAGACUGCUGUGAAGUAUGGCGACCACUAAACAGACUGCUGUGAAGUAUGGCACAGAC